rnacentral:tRNA from 1 species
CGAGGUAGCUCAGUUGGUAGAGCAACGCUCUCGUAAAGCGUAGGUCGGCGGUUCGAGUCCGCUCCUCG